rnacentral:lncRNA from 1 species
AGCACUGCUGGGCGGACCCUGUGCUAGCUCUAUUCCCUCCCUAUCUCCUCUCCGCUUCGUGCGCUGGCGGUUGAUGGACGGACUCCGAAGACCUCAGCCGUAACAAGAUGCCGAUCUCGCCGCUGGGACUUCGGCCGCUUGUAGCGGGAUCCCGAUCCGGCCAGGCGUCCAGCGGAGUCCGACCGGGCAGGUUCCCCUGGACUCGGAACCUCGCAGCCGUAUAAAACCGAGGCGUCCCUUUUGCAUCCGUGGCGUCCGCCAUUACCGAGCGCAGAGGGAGAAAGCAGCGUCGCCACCGCGGAAUCCACACCUCGGGGUCAAACCGGUGUCCUGCGUGGCGUCUAGAGUUUUGGCCGAGUUCGGUGGUUGACACUACGGAUGUGUUGGAUCGGGUGAAUCAGUGGUGGCGAGUUAAUUCCUCGCCGGAGCACCAGUCCACCGUGAAUCCGCCUAUCGCCGUGGGCGCUGAUUACCGUCGCUCCUUUCUCGGGUAUGUAACUCCUACUGCGUUCGCCACAUUCCGUACUACGCAUACUCGUCGCCGAUUGGGUUUUGGUCGCCGUAUUGCGCUUGGGUGAAGAUCCGGCGAUGGCGUCCGCCGCGGCUGGGACGGCGCGGGUGCGCUCGGUUCUGGAGGAGGGCGACGGGUCCGUGGCCAUCGGAUCCGUGGACGACGGUUCAGAUUAGAGCGUAGCAUACCAAUUGGGUGGAAGAGCAGAGAAGCGUUUGAUCGUGAUCUAGCGGCUUGGAUUUGAGCGCGCGUUCGGGUAAUACUGACCGUAGAUCUUCAAUCCAACGUAUGGCGGGUUAUACCGGUUCAUUGACUCGUGAAUCUAAUCUGGGCGCUCGGCUUGCGAUCCAACGGCUCAGAUCGCACCGUACCCUUUCGCCGAGCCGAAAUUGUAAAAGAGCCCCUCUACUUUUCAAGAAUCAACCCGCAGUCCAACACUACUGUGCUCUGUGUCUAGGGAAAAUUAGGAUUUGGCCCCUGUGUUAUCUGUAAAUAGUGCGCCCAGUCCUGGGAAUUAUAAAAUCCAGAAAAAGUGAUUAGAGAAUGAUUUUAAUGAGAAAAUAAAUGCUAAAACUUGUUUAAUUCAUAUAAAAUUCAUAUUAAGUCCAAAUAAGUCCAUUCCAAUUUCUAUAAUUUUAUAAUAUUAUUGUUUAUCAAAUAGUGCCACUGAUUUGACAUGAAAGCCACUUUAAAAUUUAUCUCCUAAUUAAUCUUAUACGAAAUACAUAAAACCAUAGGAAAUUCAUAACUCCUCCGUUUUAACUCCGAUUUGAUCCGUUCAAGUUGCGUUAGUCUCGUAGCUUCGCGUAGAUUAUUUUUAUGCAGUGUGUUCUUAUGUUUGGUGUAAUGUUAAUUUUGCCUAUACACUGUUUGUUUGUAUUGCUACGAUUAGCAGUGAGGUCACGAGUCAUCUGAAGAUCCUGGUACCUGGAAUCUCAAGUCUCAGGCAAGUUGUGCCCUUGAUCACUUCUUUUUACCCACUCAUGUUCUAAUUAAUCAUAAUGAUCUGCAUAGGUUAAUUUUGAUGGGACCCAAUAGGUUACCCUAGUUUGUCUACCUUUAUACCUUGAUUACCACUGGACUUUUUGGGUAGUACUUGCUAUUGCUUUAUGUGGUUUUGGGUAUGAAGAUACAUUAUUCAUGAUCACACUUUUAUUAUCUGUUUAUUAUUACUGUUCAUGAUAAGAUCAUUAUGUUAAUUGGAACAUGGAGCGACCACCCGGGAAAACAGUGCUACCACAAUGGUUUAAUGGGACGCCCUUGGCCGAUUAAUUAGGAAAGCUAGUGGAAGACUACCUUACCCGAAAGGGGCAAGGGCAGUAGGGGAGUGGUCAGUGUAGGGAGGCCCUCGGGAGGAUUUUGCUGCGAUGGCGGUCCUGCAAGGGAUUCCUGCAUUGGAGCUUCCUAUAAACUGUAGCGGGUUUUCUGAAGCUAGUGGAACUUUGUAAAGGCCUCGUAGUGUUACCCUGCCUCGCCUCCUCGGUAGAGGUGUAUGGGAAGUCGCGAUCCCUUGGCAGAUGGGUAACACGACUUGUGGGUAAAGAUGCGCAACCUCUGCAGAGUGUAAAACGGGUAUACUAGCCGUGCUCACGGUCAUGAGCAGCUCGGACCCUCACAUGAUUAAAUUAUUGAACUUAAAUUCAAUUUGUCAUAUGCAUUGCAUCGCAGGUGAUGUUGUUACUUCUGUUCUACUAUUUAAUUGGGUUGGUAUUUACUUAUACUUAGUAAUUGCUAAUAAAAUUUUGACCAACUUUAAAAGCAAUGCUCAGCUUCAACCAUCCUCUUUGGUAAGCCUUACACUUCACGUGAGCUCCCACCUUUGGCGAGUUCAUGCAAAUUAUUCCCCACAACUUGUUGAGCGAUGAACGUAUGUGAGCUCACUCUUGCUGUCUCACACCCCCCCAUAGGUCAAGAACAGGUACCGCAGGAUGUGGCGCUUGGAGGAUGCUGCGAUGUGUUCGUGAGAGGUCUAGGCCGUCGUCUCCCAGUCAACUUUGGGUUGCUGGACCGUUGUCUCCUUAUAAUGUAAAUAUUUAUUUUGUAUAGAACUCCUGUUAUAUAUAAAGAUGUGACAUUCGAUCAUGUGCCAUGAUUCAUCAUAUGUGUGAGACUUGGUCCCAGCACACCUGGUGAUUAUGUUCGCGCCCGGGCUUUGGACCCCUAAAACCCGGGUGUGACAUGCAUGGUCCAAGUCCACCUUUUCCCUUUUAAUUCUCCUUCGAGACUAAAUCAAGUAAACUCAAGCAUAUGGUUAGUCUCAAAGGGUCAAGUUGUAACACAUCUCCCCCUAAAACUGUGCAUCACUUUGCAACGGACUUGUGAGGUCCAGGGAGUGUUUGUACAACUUGAGCACCAUACUAAACAACAAAAUGCAAAAAGGAACAUGAUCAAAAGCAUAAAUACAUGUAUGCUACAAUUCAAUCCAAGUUCCGCGAAUCUAAGACAUUUAGCUCACUACGCAGCCUGCAAAAGGUCUUCUCAUCUAGAGGCUUGGUGAAGAUAUCAGCUAGCUGGUUCUCGGUGCUAACAUGAAACACUUCGAUAUCUCCCUUUUGCUGGUGGUCUCUCAAAAAGUGAUGCCGGAUGUCAAUGUGCUUUGUGCGGCUGUGUUCAACAGGAUUUUCCGCCAUGCGGAUAGCACUCUCAUUGUCACAUAGGAGUGGGACUUUGCUCAGAUUGUAGCCAAAGUCCUAAAGGGUUUGCCUCAUCCAAAGUAGUUGCGCGCAACACUGCCCUGCAGCAACAUACUCGGCCUCAGCGGUGGAUAGGGCAACGGAGGUUUGUUUCUUAGAGUUCCACGACACCAGGGACCUUCCUAAGAAUUGGCACGUUCCUGAUGUACUCUUCCUAUCGACCUUACAUCCAGCAUAGUCGGAAUCUGAGUAUCCAACCAAGUCAAAGGUAGACCCCUUUGGAUACCAGAGCCCAAAGCAAGGCGUAGCAACCAAAUAUCUAAGAAUUCGCUUCACCGCCACUAAGUGACACUCCUUAGGAUCGGAUUGAAAUCUAGCACACAUGCAUACGCUAAGCAUAAUAUCCGGUCUACUAGCACAUAAAUAAAGUAAAGACCCUAUCAUUGACCGGUAUGCUUUUUGAUCAACGGACUUACCUCCUUUGUUGAGGUCGGUGUGUCCGUCGGUCCCCAUCGGAGUCUUUGCGGGCUUGGCGUCCUUCAUCCCAAACCGCUUCAGCAAGUCUUGCGUGUACUUUGUUUGGGAGAUGAAGGUGCCGUCCUUGAGUUGCUUCACUUGAAACCCAAGGAAGUAGUUCAACUCGCCCAUCAUCGACAUCUCGAAUUUCUGCAUCAUAACCCUGCUAAACUCUUCACAAGACUUUUGGUUAGUAGAACCAAAUAUUAUGUCAUCAACAUAAAUUUGGCACACAAAAAGAUCAAUGUCGCAAGUCUUAGUAAAAAGAGUUGGAUCGGCUUUCCCAACCUUGAAAGCAUUAGCAAUUAAGAAGUCUCUAAGGCAUUCAUACCAUGCUCUUGGGGCUUGCUUAAGUCCAUAGAGCGCCUUAGAGAGCUUACACACGUGGUCGGGGUACCGUUCAUCCUCGAAGCCAGGGGGUUGCUCCACGUACACCUCCUCCUUGAUUGGCCCAUUGAGGAAAGCGCUCUUCACAUCCAUUUGGUACAACCUGAAAGAAUGGUGAGCGGCAUAUGCUAGCAAGAUACGAAUUGAUUCUAGCCUAGCCACAGGAGCAAACGUCUCCUCAAAGUCCAAACCUGCGACUUGGGCAUAACCUUUUGCCACAAGUCGAGCCUUGUUCCUCGUCACCACCCCGUGCUCGUCCUGUUUGUUGCGGAACACCCACUUGGUUCCCACAACAUUUUGCUUGGGACGAGGCACCAGUGUCCAAACUUCAUUGCGCUUGAAGUUAUUGAGUUCCUCCUGCAUGGCCAAUACCCAAUCCGGAUCUAGCAAGGCCUCCUCUACCCUGAAAGGCUCAAUAGAAGAGACAAAGGAGUAAUGCUCACAAAAAUUAACUAAUCGAGAUCGAGUAGUUACUCCCUUGCUAAUGUCACCCAAAAUUUGGUCGACGGGAUGAUCCCUUUGAAUCACCGCUCAAACUUGGGUUGGAGGUGCCGGUUGCACUUCUUCCUCCAUCACGUGAUCAUCUUGUGCUCCCCCUUGAUCACACGCCUCCUUUUGAAGAACCUGUUCAACGUCUUGAGUUGGGAGAUGCACCGUUGUUGAGGAAGAAGGUUGAUCUCGUUCAUCUUGUUCCUGUGGCCGCACUUCUCCAGUCGCCAUGGUUCGUAUAGCGGCCGUCGGAACAUCUUCUUCAUCUACAUCAUCAUAAUUAACAACUUGCUCUCUUGGAGAGCCAUUAGUCUCAUCAAAUACAACGUCGCUAGAGACUUCAACCAAACCCGAUGAUUUGUUGAAAACUCUAUAUGCCUUUGUAUUUGAGUCAUAACCUAACAAAAACCCUUCUACAGCUUUGGGAGCAAAUUUUGAAUUUCUACCCUUCUUCACUAGAAUGUAGCACCUGCUCCCAAAUACAUGAAAGUAAGAUACAUUGGGUUUGUUACCGGUUAGUAGCUCAUACGAGGUCUUCUUGAGGAGGCGAUGAAGGUAGACCCUGUUGAUGGCGUGGCAAGCCGUGUUCACGGCUUCCGACCAAAAACGCUCGGGGGUCUUGAAUUCUCCAAGCAUUGUCCUCGCCAUAUCGAUUAGCGUCCUGUUCUUCCUCUCUACCACACCAUUUUGCUGUGGUGUGUAGGGAGCGGAGAACUCGUGCUUGAUCCCUUCCUCCUCAAGGAACUCCUCCACUUGAAGGUUCUUGAACUUGGACCCAUUGUCGCUCCUUAUCUUCUUCACCUUGAGCUCAAACUCAUUUUGAGCUCUCCUGAGGAAGCGCUUGAGGGUCCCUUGGGUUUCAGACUUAUCCUGCAAAAAGAACACCCAAGUGAAGCGGGAAAAGUCAUCAACAAUAACUAAACCAUACUUACUUCCUCCUAUGCUUAGAUAGGCGACGGGUCCGAAGAGGUCCAUAUGUAGCAGCUCCAGGUGUCUUGAUGUGGUCAUCACAUUCUUGCUGUGAUGCGCUCCUCCCACCUGUUUACCUGCCUGACAAGCUGCACAAGGUCUAUCUGUAACACCCCUGGUGUUACUAUAACUAAAACUUGAGCAUGGCAUCAUGAGCAUUGGCAUUGCAUAUGUUUGACACAUCUAGAGUGCAUUCACUAGGCAAAAAUUUCAAACAAGUUGUAUUGUUUUAAUAUUUUUGCAAAUGAAACCCUGGUUAAUGGACUUAACCCUAAAUAGUGGUUAAAGGGGUAAAAACUUAACCCAAGUUAAGAAAACCUAAAUACUUUAGGGUAAAAGUCAUAAAAUGACCCUAAGAAUAAACUUGAAUCACUUUUGUACCCCUGGGAUACCAGAAACCCUAAUUAGAACCCUGGCAAACCCUGAAACCAAACCCUAGGGGCUUAUGUGCAAAAUUAGUCCACUUUUGGACUAAAGUGCAAAAACCAAGCCAAAUAAGUAUCUUAAGUCCUUUGGAUUACAAGUAUGUGGACUUGAAAGCAAAACCCUAAGUUUUGGGUUUAUUUGCAAAAAGUACCACUUGACCUCUAUAUAGCCUAAGUCUGAAAUCAGUGUUGUGAGCACAACUUUGAGCCCUUGUAACUUUCAAAGCAUAGGGUUUUUGCCCUAGGUUACCACAUCAAAGUUGAAGAUCAAUCUUAGGGGAACAACUUUGUUUAAGGAUUCAAGCCAUGGUCUUAUGUGAAAUUUGGAGAAAAACCCCAAUCAAAGAUAGGCUGUCAGACUGCUUGAAGUUGAAUUUCAGAGUUACAGUGCUAUGGGGUGAACUUUGAGCUCGAUUUUGAUUUGGAUCCAGUGCUCAAAUGAGUUCAAUCCCUAUAGUCGAAUUGUAGCUAGUUUGUAGCUUUAAAACUUUGCUACAGAGAGUGGAGUGAGUUACUAGAGAAACUUUAGAGAGAUUUGGUCCUAAACUGUGACUGUCAGGCGCACUGAUGAACAUAUCCCAUGGUACAGUGCUCUAACCGGAUCAGAUCGACCGCCGUGGAAAAAUCUCACCGCCGGCGACCGCUUUGCCGGGAUUGGUGCCGCGGCCGUGUGGGUGUUGCUCACCUUGAAAAGAUCUUCACCCCCAGUGCGCUGGCGACCUCUCCGGUAACCCCCGUGGCCCUCUCUCUUCCUCUUUGCGGCCGAGAGGAUUACCUCGCCGGUGACCGCCGCCUCCCGGCCUUAUGCCGCGUGUCCAAGCCUUUCCACCGCGUCGCCAUGACUCCCUCUACCCGUCCCAUCGUCGAUGGGGAGAUUGCCACGGCGGUGGACACGAAUUCACCGCACCUGCGUUCUUCCUUAUUUCCGGCCGCCAGCUCUGUCCGGCCAAAUUAAGCGCCGCCGUCGAAGCCUCCUAUAAAUUGAGCCCCUGGGCAGCUUCGCCAAGCCAUCCCGAAGCUAUAGCACCCGCUUCCACCCGCGAUCAUCCACCAGCAUGCGCAGAUUUCCCAUUCUCCCCAAAUCCGGUCUCCGCCACCGUGAAACCGAGCUCACCGUCGCCAGCCCAUCUCCGGUCAGCUCCCGUCCCCUGCUUCCUCGUUUAAGCUUCCUCACAUGCCUACGAUGCUUACUGAACCACCAAUUUGAACUACGAGCUCACCAAUCACCGGGAACACGAUCUACUGUCCGCCACCCAUUCGGUUCACGCGGACAGAGCUUGAUAGCUCACUAUUUGUGCAAUUAGGUUGGGGAAAACAUUCAUGGGGACUCGGAUUUAGUCUCGGCUGAAGCUUAGCGCCGGUCACUGCCUCAAUCGGCCGGUCUGCUAGCUCGCCGGAGCACGGCGGUGCGCGAGCGCCGUCGUGGACUUCAAAUCGUGAAUAGAUAGAAACCGGUGGGUCUUUUUGUGAAGUGUCAGUGACUCAGAUAAACAGUAAAAGAACCUGGUCGCAGUUAGUCCAAAACGCGGGGGCCCCUGUGCAAAGUCGCCAGGGCGCGGGCGCGCGCGGGCGCCUUUCCCUCUAGAACUGGGCCGCUGGGCUGAAACCAGCCCAACACUGUUUCAACCUUUUCCUUUUUCUUUUUCAGCAGAGUUUCAAAAAUAUGUAGAAAAAUGUAGAAAAAUGCUAAAAUUGUGAAACUAAUUUUCCUAGGUUUGUUAUUUUCCUUAGAAUUUAGUAAAAAUAAGUUUGUGAUUUUUAGUGAAAGUAAGAAAUUUGAGGGUAUUUAAAGUGGUUAAAAAUGUUGGUUAUAGAUUUUUAGAAAAUAAUUGGUAAGUCCUAAAAUGCCCAAAAUUUUUAUAUGAGUGUUAUACAAUAUUUAGAAGCCUUGGGUAAAGUUUGAAUUGAUUUGGACCUUGUUUGAUCACCAAACCCCAAAACACCCCCCCUGCCCUAUGAACUCCUUUACCGACUCCGGAAACCCUAAGUUCCCGGAACUCCGUGAAGGAAAGUUGUAUUCAAGACAUAAAUAAUAAGUUUAUGUUAUCUUUGCAUCCUCAUGAGCAUCCCAUGGCAUCCAUUCUUAUACUUAUGUAUGGUUAUGAUUAGAACGUGAAGAAGAGG